GACAAUAUUGAAGUAUCAGCAAUCGCAGCUGGCUAAUCCUCCAGCCCGUGGCCUUGGUCCCGGAAUUGGAACUAGUUCUGGACUUCCCCCUGCUAUUGCCAGUGCAGAUAGACAGACAGGUAGUUCCUGUGUUUCUUCCUCCCGAAGAAUGAGUUCUAUUUUAUCUAAAGCUUUUUGCUUAAGGUGGAGUGUACCUUUGGAAGAUUUUUUAUUUUUUUUGCUUGCAUGGGAAUGUUGCAGAUUCUUUUAGUUAAUUUUUAACCCUUUUUUUUUUUUUAAAUACAAGUUAAAUAAUAUUAUAAUGAACAUCUCUUCUUACUUUAGCAAAUUAGUAUAUCCAGUACUAAACUUUAUCCAGUACUAAACUUAUAAUUAGUAUAUCGUUUGUUAAAAAAGUUUGGUCUAAAAAUAAGUUUGCUAGGCCCAUAAACAUCUGAGAUUGCUUCUUUGAGAAAUAAAAUAAUGAGUAAAGGAACCAUUUGAUGUGUUCAAAAGGUUGGCCAGGUUCAAGCCAGGCCAAUAUUUAUGAACCUCGGCCACAUCAAUUAUUCAGGCCCAGAUAUUUGCUGGAUCCUGGUCCAUAUGGUUAAAAAAUAAAAAUAUUUAUAUUUUAUUAAAUGGGUUAGCUAGGUUGGGUUGGCACAAUAUGAACUGGAAUCCCAAACCUGGUCCACCAUUAAGCUGGGCUAGGGCCAUUGGCAUAACCUCCUACCAAUGUCCAGCUUAUUUUGGACUCUGAACUAGUGCCUAUUAAUUUAGACUCAUCCUUCAUGAUGGCAAGACAAAAUUACAACUAGAGUUUGUGGUUAUGUUGUAUAUGUAUUUGCUUGGUAUGAAAUGAAUUGAGCCUACUUAUUCAUCACAUGAACCUGUACAGGUAAUCUGCAAUCGAUAAAGAUUAUCUGGUCUUGUGAUGCCAAGUGGUAAAGAAAAGUUGGUUUUUGCCUUACAUCUGCUUGUGGUUUACACUUCUUUCUACUCGUUCCAGGUGGGGAACAAGUUGGUCAGUCGAUAGAUUCUGCUCGUCGUAGACUUUCAGGACCUAUCCUAAAUGCCGGAAGUUAUGCAAUGCAGAAGAAUCCAGUUGCCAAUGAUUCUCCAGUUAGUAAGGACCCUAUGGUAUGUUGUCGAGGGUUAUUCUUCUCCAAUAUUGGUUUGGGUGACAAAUUCUGUAAAGCUCCAUUUACUGUCUUGUGAUGUACAAUUACUCUUCAUUAAUACUAGAUGCAUGUGAAACUUGAAUCCUGCUUAUAUGUGCUUUCAUGUGACCACCACAGGUUAACUUGCAUCCAGCUUGGCUUCAUUAUUUGUAGCAUUCACUUGAACUUGUUUUUACGAUUCCAUUGCAUAAUCAAGCCAUUAACAAGUGCUUUGUAGGUCAAUCAUUACUGACUUGAAUUAAGUUGAUUUUGAUUUUGCACAAUGAUUCUAUUCUUGCUGUAACUUAAAACUCUUUUACCUUUAUGGAUUUGCAUACAAGCCAACAUCUUCUUGGAUUUGCAUACAAGCCAACAUUCUUUGGUGUUUUGCAUUCCGUAUUAUAUCUGAUCUGCAUUAUGCUACAAUGAUGCA
rnacentral:misc_RNA from 1 species